rnacentral:sRNA from 1 species
UUGCAGACCAUGGUACACACUCUCGUGUU